GUGAGUCAUCGAAUCUUUGAACGCACCUUGCGCUCCUUGGUAUUCCGAGGAGCAUGCCUGUUUGAGUGUCAUUAAUAUAUCAACCUCCUCAGGUUUUGACUUGUCGAGUGUUUGGAUGUGGGGGUCUUUUGCUGGUCUCUUUUGAGGUCGGCUCCCCUAAAAUGCAUUAGCGGAACAAUUUGUUGACCCGUUCAUUGGUGUGAUAACUAUCUACGCUUUUGAGGUGAAACAGGUUCAGCUUCUAACAGUCCAUUAACUUGGACAAAUUUUCAUUAAUGUGACCUCAAAUCAGGUAGGACUACCCGCUGAACUUAAGCAUAUCA
rnacentral:rRNA from 1 species